rnacentral:rRNA from 1 species
UACGUAGGGUGCGAGCGUUGUCCGGAAUUAUUGGGCGUAAAGAGCUCGUAGGCGGCCUGUCACGUCGGGUGUGAAAGCCCGGGGCUUAACCCCGGGUCUGCAUUCGAUACGGGCAGGCUAGAGUGUGGUAGGGGAGAUCGGAAUUCCUGGUGUAGCGGUGAAAUGCGCAGAUAUCAGGAGGAACACCGGUGGCGAAGGCGGAUCUCUGGGCCAUUACUGACGCUGAGGAGCGAAAGCGUGGGGAGCGAACAGG